rnacentral:snRNA from 1 species
GGAUGUGAGGGUGAUGUGGCUGUGACAUCUGUCGCCCAAUUGAUCGCCCGGGUUGAUUUGACUGAUCUGGCUGGCUAGGCGGGUGUCCCCUUCCUCCCUCGCCACUCCAUGUGCGUCCCUCCUGAAGCUGUGCGCUCGGUCGACGAGGACGACCUUCCCUGAUAGAGGCGGGUACCGUUCAUCGGUCAAGGGUUUACUUACAGUAGCAGCUCCCCUGCUAGAACCUCCAAACAAUGAACAAACAUUAUAGCAUAAAAUGUCAAUUAAGUCAAAAUAUCUAACUGACCUAUUGGGGUAAAGCGAUGCUCCUUGCCACAGU